rnacentral:sRNA from 1 species
CAGGCUGAAUAAUAAUUCUCUGGGCAAAAAGCACAGUUGGCAGGAUCGGGUGUCUCGAUCAUCCUCACCUCUGAAGACCGGGGAGCAGACACCACCGCAUGAACACAUCUGCCUGAGCGAUGAGCUGCCCCCCCAGAGCAGCCCCGCCCCCACCACAGAUCGAGGCACCUCCACCGACAGCCCUUGCCGCCGCAGCACAGCCACCCAGAUGGCACCUCCGGGUGGUCCCCCUGCUGCCCUGCCUGGGGGUCGGGGCCACUCGCAUCGAGACCGAAUCCACUACCAGGCCGAUGUGCGACUGGAGGCCACUGAGGAGAUCUACCUGACCCCAGUGCAGAGGCCCCCAGACCCUGCAGAGCCCACCUCCGCCUUCCUGCCGCCCACAUCGGAGCUGGAUGUGGGUCAGCUCCGAUCUAGACCCUGCCGCCUACCUCUCCACGGCAGGGCGGCCGC